rnacentral:rRNA from 1 species
AAGAUUAAGCCAUGCAUGUCUAAGUAUAAGCAAUCUAUACGGUGAAACUGCGAAUGGCUCAUUAAAUCAGUUAUCGUUUAUUUGAUAGUACCUUACUACUUGGAUAACCGUGGUAAUUCUAGAGCUAAUACAUGCUAAAAACCCCGACUUCGGAAGGGGUGUAUUUAUUAGAUAAAAAACCAAUGCCCUUCGGGGCUCCUUGGUGAUUCAUAAUAACUUAACGAAUCGCAUGGCCUUGUGCCGGCGAUGGUUCAUUCAAAUUUCUGCCCUAUCAACUUUCGAUGGUAGGAUAGUGGCCUACCAUGGUUUCAACGGGUAACGGGGAAUUAGGGUUCUAUUCCGGAGAGGGAGCCUGAGAAACGGCUACCACAUCCAAGGAAGGCAGCAGGCGCGCAAAUUACCCAAUCCCGACACGGGGAGGUAGUGACAAUAAAUACUGAUACAGGGCUCUUUUGGGUCUUGUAAUUGGAAUGAGUACAAUUUAAAUCCCUUAACGAGGAACAAUUGGAGGGCAAGUCUGGUGCCAGCAGCCGCGGUAAUUCCAGCUCCAAUAGCGUAUAUUAAAGUUGUUGCAGUUAAAAAGCUCGUAGUUGAACCUUGGGCCUGGCUGGCCGGUCCGCCUCACCGCGUGCACUGGUCCGGCCGGGUCUUUCCUUCUGGGGAGCCGCAUGCCCUUCACUGGGUGUGUCGGGGAACCAGGACUUUUACUUUGAAAAAAUUAGAGUGUUCAAAGCAGGCCUAUGCUCGAAUACAUUAGCAUGGAAUAAUAGAAUAGGACGUGUGGUUCUAUUUUGUUGGUUUCUAGGACCGCCGUAAUGAUUAAUAGGGAUAGUCGGGGGCAUCAGUAUUCAAUUGUCAGAGGUGAAAUUCUUGGAUUUAUUGAAGACUAACUACUGCGAAAGCAUUUGCCAAGGAUGUUUUCAUUAAUCAGUGAACGAAAGUUAGGGGAUCGAAGACGAUCAGAUACCGUCGUAGUCUUAACCAUAAACUAUGCCGACUAGGGAUCGGGCGAUGUUAUCUUUUUGACUCGCUCGGCACCUUACGAGAAAUCAAAGUCUUUGGGUUCUGGGGG